rnacentral:tRNA from 1 species
GGGGGUAUAGCUCAGUGGUAGAUCGAAAGGUCCGUGGUUCAACUCCGCGUAUUCUCU